rnacentral:piRNA from 1 species
UGCAAGUUGGCGUUAUUAAGCCCUGGUUGC